rnacentral:sRNA from 1 species
AGGGACCCCCGAGGGCGAGCGCCUGCGGGGCGCGGCCUUGCCCGGAGGAGCGCUGCCGAGGGAGAGUGGUUCUAGUAAAUACUGCUUGCUGUGUUUUGAUGUUGGUGGCUAAGCUCAUCCAGUGUAUUGUGUUUGGCCCUCUUCGAGUGAGUGAGAGACAGCAUCUCAAAGACAAAUUUUGGAAUUUUAUUUUCUACAAGUUCAUUUUCAUCUUUGGUGUGCUGAAUGUCCAGACAGUGGAAGAGGUGGUCAUGUGGUGCCUCUGGUUUGCCGGACUUGUCUUUCUGCACCUGAUGGUUCAACUCUGCAAGGAUCGAUUUGAAUACCACAGAACCCUAAGCAGAGAAGCCAAGAUUGACCUUGAAUUUCUCAGUGAAGUUUAACACUUCCAUGAAGAAGAAUGAGCAGUUUCCUACUGUGUGCAUUUCAGCUUUCCUUCUCGCCCACCACACCGAUGAGCAGCCACGGUCGAGUCCUGUCCCUGUUGGUUGCCAUGCUACUUUCCUGCUGUGGACUGGCGGCCGUCUGCUGCAUCACCG